rnacentral:pre_miRNA from 12 species
CUGUAGUGCAUUGUAGUUGCAUUGCAUGUGCUGGCAGUAACUGUGCAAUGUUCCUGCAGUGCAGUACAG